GGCCUGCGGAAGGAUCAUUA
rnacentral:rRNA from 3 species